rnacentral:sRNA from 1 species
AUAAAUCCCAUAUUUGCAUAAGAAUCAAUUAUGAAAAUGCCAUUUUUUGGGAUGACAUUUGUGGAUUUUGCCCCUUUUUGAAUAGUUUGUAGAUUUUGCCAUUUUUCAGGUUACGGAAAUAUGAUUUAACAUGCGUUUUAUUCAUUAUGUUUGGGUUUAGUUGGUUGUGGUUGUUCUUAGGGUUUAGUAUUUUGUGUAAACUAUGUAUUUUUACCAAAAAAAAUCUGAAAUCCAUACAUUUUUAAGUCUUAGAAAAUGGCAUAUCCGUAAGAUUUUAAUAAAAAUGGCAAUUUCAAAAGAUCUCUAUGAAAAAUGACAAAAUCAACAAUAAUCCCUUUGCAUAAUUAAUGUUGUCACUUGUAUUUAAUGUUGUAUAUGCCAACUUUGUAUGUUAAAAUCCAUGUGUGUAAUU